UACGAAGAGGGCUAGCGUUGCUCGGAAUCACUGGGCGUAAAGCGCACGUAGGCGGCUUGUUAAGUCAGGGGUGAAAUCCUGGAGCUCAACUCCAGAACUGCCUUUGAUACUGGCGAGCUUGAGUACGGAAGAGGCGAGUGGAAUUCCUGGUGUAGCGGUGGAAUGCGCAGAUAUCAGGAGGAACACCGGUGGCGAAGGCGGUCUCUGGCAUACCUGACGCUGAGGAGCGAAAGCGUGGGAGCGAACAGG
rnacentral:rRNA from 1 species